rnacentral:lncRNA from 1 species
GAUGACACCGCCAAAGAUCACUUUAUUGCCACGAUGUCGAUCGGUUACAGAAAAUGCGUGUCAGCAUCCAAGAACUCUCAAAUAAAUCUAGGCUAAAGAUCUGAGUUCCUCUCCUGAGACGCACCCAAAAACCUAGCCUACGCCCCUCUAUUUAAAGAGCUAAACAGCACCCUAAAAAUAGAGCCCAUCUCUGAAACAAAACAGACGGCAGAAUCAUGCAUGAGCCUGGCCGCUCACCUCGUUGCUGCAUGGGCCACGCUGGGCCUGCUCCUCCGGCCUCUAGCCUAUGUACGCUAAGCUGCAGACAUGCAACGAGCAAUGUCUGCUCUUGCGCGUGAGCCUGGCUGACCGCCUCGCACGCCGCCUUCCAUCGAUCCGCACGCCUGCCACAUGGGCCGCCCACGCUGGACAGGGCCGCACCCGCUCGACUCGCCCGAUCGACCUGUUGCCGCGGCUGUGCGCGCAAACACAUGUGCACGCCUUACACCUCGUGACGUCUUCAGUACCGUACCGUACAUCUCCGGUACAAGCCAUGUACGACAAACCGGUGCCCUCCCGGAUCAUCGUAUCCUCUACUUUCAUUGUUCCUUCGCACGAACGCCCCGCAUGACCAUGAUCCCCCGGACCUCAGCUUCUCUAAGCUUCGUCCCUCGAUCCUGUCAUCGACCACGUUUGUCCAGCUCUGGCAACACCUGAAAGUGAACUCAACAAAUAACCAGUAUGAGCACAAGUCCACGACUUGACUCAGGGUAAGUUUCACACAACUCACACCAUAUUUCACACAAGUAGCUAAUGGAUCAUCACACCAUUAGCAAAGUAUUCAGCCCAAUAUAAGAUACCAAUAACCCCACAAGUAUCCAUAUCAUCCAGAGUAUCCAAAUCAAUGUCUACUAAGCACUUGCCAAUGUUGCACAUCACACAUGACUUCACAAUCUCCCCCUUGAUGAAAACAUUGGCAACAUCACAUAAACACCAAACAUAGAUUGGCAUACACAUUCACUUAACUUUCAGAUUUUCAGAGUUUUGAAAAGACAAAAGAGAAAAAAAAACUGAAGAUCAACCAAAGAUCCAAAAAAAACAAUAGAAAAUUGUGUAAAGAAAAUGUGGUGUGAAUAUGUGUUGGAAAUCUCUCCCCCUUUGACAAUGAAUUUCAUCAAAACCACAAAACGAACUCUCCCCCUAAACAGAAAUUCUAUAAGCUAGAAAAAGGAAAAUCUUUUUGUAUUACGUCAUAUUUCAAUUUUUUUUAAUGAGCAUUAUAAGACAUCAUGAAAAUGACAAUUCUACGUCCAAGUCAUGCAAAAAGUAUUUGUACUUGACAUGUAUACAAGUAUAAUGCAAUCCACACGUGACCAAGAAUCAAGUAUUGUUACGAUUUAUUACAAGGCAUGGUCUUCCUUUAUCAACUAUGUCAAUGCUUGAAUACACAAUCAUUUGAGCAAAUUAUAUUAAAAGCAUUUAUAAAAAUAUGAAACUUAAUUUCCAAAGAAGUUGUAUGCCAUGUCAAUUCAACCUUGCCAAGCCUAUAUUCAAAGUACCAUGCCAAGCCUAUGUUUAAAGUACAAUAACAAUCAGAAGCUUAAGACAACGGUAGGCAAUCAGAAGCUUAAGACAAAGGUUUCAAGAACAACAACAACUUCCAAGUUCAUACCAAAGUGCAAUGGUAAGCAGUCUCGUGAAGAUGCAGUGUGACAUUGGCAUAUCUUUUAUAAAACUUGCUUGACAGCAUAUUUUUAAUCUUGAUACUUUAAUAGAUUCAUCAUCGAUAGUAAUUGAGUAACCAAGACCAACACAGCUAACAAAGUUUAACCAUGACAAGAUUUAGUUCAAGUUAUCAUUCGUAUUAGAAAGUCAUGUGAUAAACUACCUUAUACGAACAUACAUGUAAAAUGACAAUUUCCUCAAAGCAUAAACAUGAUUGCAAAAUGACAUUCCAGGAUAAAAUACAAUGCUCAUUACUUUUUCAUUUUUUUAAUUUAUCAAAAAAAACUGAAAAAGAAGCAACAUGAAAAUACCAAUUCUAACUAGAAACCCAAGUGAAAAAGUAUUUUACAUAUUUUACAAAAAGACUCAAGUCCCCCUCAAACCAUCCCGUAUGGUUUGAUUACUCCAAGUUCACCUCGAAGAAAAGCAAACCGAGAAGAAUCCAAUGGUUUAGUGAAAAUGUCUGCCAAUUGACGUUCAGUAUCUAUAAAAUGUAGCACAACAUUUCUUUUUUCAACAUGAUCUCUAAGAAAAUGAUAUCUUAUGUCUAUGUGCUUAGUUCGAGAAUGUUGCACAGGGUUUUUAGCAAUACAUAUAGUACUAGUGUUAUCACAAUAAAGUGGUACACUUUCUAGAGUAACCCCAUAAUCUUUCAUUGUAGCUAUUAUCCAUAAAAUCUGUGAGCAACAACAAGCAGCAGCUACAUAUUCACUUUCAGCAGUAGAUUGUGCAACAAAACUUUGUUUCUUAGAAGACCAAAGUACUAAUGAAUCACCCAAAAAUAAGCAUGUGCCAGAUGUACUCUUUCUAUCAAUUCUACAACCUCCAAAAUCAGCAUCCGAAAAUGCACGCAAUGAAAUACUCGAGGAAGCAGAAAGCCAAAAUGCCAAAAGAUUGGGUGCCAUGUAGAUACCUGAAGAUCCGCUUGACAGCUUGUAGAUGUGAUGCACGUGGAGAAGCUUGAAACCGUGCACACAAGCAUACAGAAAAUUGUAUAUCCGGUCUAGAAGCGGCGAGAUAAAGAAGUGAACCAAUCAUACUCCUAUACAUCUUUUGGUCAACAGUUUCACCUUCCUCAUCAAGAUCAAGUGACGCCGUAGAUCCCAUUGGUGUCAUAAUAGGGUUGAGGUUUUCCAUCCCAAAGUGCCAUAGAAGAUCCUUCGUAUACUUACUUUGAUGCACAAAGGUGCCAUCCUUUGUUUGUUUGAUUUGCAGUCCCAAAAAGUAAGUAAGUUCACCCAUCAUGCUCAUUUCAAAUUCCCUGCUCAUACUUUCUGAAAAUUCUGACACCAAAGCAUGAGAAGCACACCCAAAGAUAAUAUCAUCAACAUAAACUUGUACGAAAAGUUGAUCGUUGCCAUGUUUGAGUACAAAGAGUGUUUUAUCAACGUUUCCCAUGGUAAACCCCUUUCCAAUUAAAAACAUUUUCAACCUAUCAUACCAUGAACGUGGGGCUUGUUUUAAACCAUACAAAGCUUUUGAAAGUUUAUAAACAUGGUUGGGAAACUUUGGAUUCUCGAAACCAGGUGGUUGCUUAACAUAAACCUCCUCAUCAAUAAAGCCAUUAAGAAAAGCACUUUUAACAUCCAUUUGAUAAAGCUUAAAACCUUCAGAUGCAGCAAAAGUCAAUAAAAUUCUUAUAGCUUCCAAUCUAGCAACAGGAGCAAAAGUUUCAUCAAAAUCAAGACCUUCAACUUGAGUAAAACCCUGAGCAACCAACCUAGCCUUGUUGCGAACAAUAACACCAUCCUCACUUUGUUUGUUUUUGAAAACCCAACGAGUUCCAAUAAGAGUAUGACCAGAAGGAGGUGAAACAAGAGUCCAAACUUUGUUACGCUCAAAAUUUUCUAAUUCCUCAUGCAUGGCAUUGAUCCAUGAUUCAUCAGUUAAUGCAUGAGAUAUAUCUUUGGGCUCAAAAGAAGCAACAAAUGUUGAAUGAGUAUGAUAGUCAGAAUCGAUAAACCUUGACCGUGUGACUCUCUCAUCCAUGCUUCCAAUAAUCUGCUCAGGAGGGUGUCUUUUCUGAAUAUGUCGGGGUGCUGAAAUAUUUGACUCAGCAGCAUGCUCAUCCCCAACAUUUGUAGUUGAAGUAGUCUCUUGAGGAUGUCCAGCUGUAGCAGCAGUAGUUGUAGGUGUAGGAACAGCUGGAGUUUGCGCAUGGACAGCAGGGGGCACGCCAUCCUCCUCGUCAUCUUCAUCAUCUACAAAGAUUUCCUCCCCCUGAACAUAUGUUCCUGCAUCAGAAAUGCGAGGACUAGAGCCAGAACCCCAAAAGAUUGUACCCUUGAUGGACCAACUGUAUCAAGAUGUAGAAGCUGUCCUGGAGCGUUAGUCAUGACACUGGUAAUGCGUGCAUGUGAACCUGCAACCAUCUUACCAUGUCUACAAGGAGAGCAUACAAUAUCUUUUUCUCUCUUAAGUUUAGGCAAACCAUUUAUAAGAUUCAUACCACUUAUACGAGUGAGAUGAUCAAAACCAAUAUGCCCAAGUCUACGAUGCCAAAAGAAUAAAUCUGUAGAUGUAUUGGCAACUAGACACCUAAACUUAACAUUUGAAGAAGCAUGAAAAUCAGCCUUAAAAACUCUCCCAAAGCGUGAUAUCUCAAAGACAAGAUCACCCGAAGCAUCUAAAACUUUGCAAGCAUUUUUCUUAAAUGAAACUUCAAGAUCCUCAUCAAUCAUUUGUGAAACCGACAACAAGUUGUAUUUCAGAUUUUCAACCAAAGCAACAUCUUUGAACAUAAAUUUGUCGGUUACCUUUACUGUACCUUUCGCUACAACAGUAGAAGUAGAAGCAUCUCCAAAAUUUACACUCUCAGCCCGAGAUGCACGUGUGAGGGAGGAGAACCAUUUUUUAUCACCGGUCAUGUGACGAGAACAACCGGAGUCCACUAGCCAUAUGUUCUCCUUCCUCGUGCGAAGUGCCUACAAACAACAAACACAAGCCGAGGUCUCAGUACUGGGGUUAGAUAAAAAACUUUUAGGUAUCCAGUACUGAGACAUGCGGCGAGAAGGCAUUGCACGAGUUUCUUUAUACAUUGGGACAUAUUUUACAUGUCUCAUGCAGACAGUAGUAGAAGGUGACACAUUCACCUUAGGCACAAACUUCGGAGCAACGGAAUUAUGUUGAACAUAAUGUGCCUUGAAGAAAUUAGAUCUAGCUUGCUUUCUUUCUUUCUUAAUAAGUUUAGCUAGUCUAAAACAGGAACCUACAACAUGUCCAGAUUUACCACAAAAAGUGCAUUUGUACCUACAUUCAGGUUUAUCAUGUGGUGUAUCAGCUACAUUUGCACUAGGUGAAAGAGCAUUAGACAUAAUGCCGGCAGAUUUAAAAAUCACAUUGGUUGGCUUAUCAGAUGUUCCAAAAAUUCCAUUGCCAAGUGAUUUAACAACAGUGGGAGGAUUAGCCUUGAAGUGAGCAUGAGCAUUGAAACCAAGUCCUGUCUUAUUUUUACUCACUUUAGACUUAUCUAAGAUCAUAUUCAAAUUUUUAUGCCCGCUAGAAAACUUUUGCAAAGAAGCUUGUAGAUAAUUAACUUGAUGAGACAAAGCAAGACAAUUAUCACAAGCAGCAUCCAUGGCUUGUUUCCCAUUUUUACAAUUAGCACACGACAAAACCUCAUGGAUAUGUAAAGCAUUUUCAACAUGAGAAACCCUAGCAUUUGCAUCUUUCAACUUCAAGUCAAGAAUAUGACAAUUAUUACAAGAAGUUGAAUCUGUCAAAUCAGAAGUAUCCACGCUAACAUCAUUAAUUUCUUUACGUUUAUGCACAACAAGUUUCUCAUUGUUUUCUAAUGCAUUUCUAAGCUUAUCAAGAGUAUCAUCGUGAAUAGAACGCAAAGAUGUAAGCUCAGAAUAGAUAGAAUUACAAGACUUGCAAGAAUCAUCAUCAGGAAUCAUAGAUUUAAGUCUAGUAAUUUCAGAAUUCAGAGAUGCAAUUUUCAAGUCAUAUUUCUUAAUUCUUUUAGUGGCAUGAUCUAGUAAGGAGCUCAACUUGCUGGCACUUUCAAGUAAUUCAUCAUAAGACAGUUCUACCUCAUUGUUGUUGUCGCUGUUGUAGUCGUCGCAGGAGGUAGCGCUUUUGCUAGCAGCCAUAAGACACAUCCCACUAAUGUCGCGCUUGGCUUUGGUUGCAUCAUCUUCAUCGGAUUCGAUGUCCACAUCACUCAAGCAUGGUUCACCAUAUUCAUCGAUGACCGAGAAAAUACUGUGUGCCACAGCUCGAGCAAAGUCACCCCUCUUCUUAUUCUUGAUGUUGAAAGUGUGCUUAUUCUUUUUGUUCUCCUUGACAGAAUUAUCCAUAUCCCCUUCUUUCGCCAUCUUGGAUAAAAACUUGGGGCAGUUUUGGCGAAAGUGGUUGGGAUCACCACAUUCAAAACACCUUGGAGCGUUGUUCCCACCUCUCUUCCUUGAGCGAACAUUUUGUAGGGCACGUGAAAAACGAGAAGUGAGGAGUGCCAAUUCUUCUUCUGGGCAUUGCUCUAGCUGUUCAUCAGUUAGUUGAGACAAAGAAGACAGUGCAUAGCAAUGCGAAGAAGUACCAUCAUUUGAGCUGGUAGGGUUAGUAACAAGAGAAAUUGAUUUAGAACCAGUUCUCCUAGCAAGAAUAUCUAAUUCAUGAGUUUUCAAUUUUGAGUAUAAGAUAUCAAGUGUAAGUGUGCUCAUGACAGUAGACUCUCUAAUAGAUGUAACUUUCAUCUCCCAGAUGGACAUAUCUAAAGCACUCAAAAGCUGCCUAGAAGUCUCAGCAUCAGUAUAGGUAACACCUAAUGCACGUAGAUUGCUGAGAAUCUUAUUAAAGCGAGCAAAAAAUUCAUCCAAAGAUUUACCUGUUUUCAUCUCAAACCUCAUGUACUCCUUUUUGUACAUGUCCUGACGCACUUCCUUAACUGAGUUUGAUCCUUCAUGAUAGCUACAAAGUGCGUUCCAUACCUCAUGAGCGGAUGCAAGGUGAGAGACACGGUCGAAGUCACUCCGUUGUAGACCUUGGAUGAUGAAGUUCCUCGCCUUGUAGUUGUUCUCCACAUGAACCAAGUUUGCUGGCGUGGUCGCAUCGUCUGCGGGAAGCACAUAGGGCUUGGCGACUUUCUCCCAGAUGGCGUAACUUUGCGCCAUGAUGUAUGCCUUCAUCUUCGCCUUCCAGAACUGAAAAUCAACACCAUCGAAAAUACAGGGUUUGGUAGAAUACCUAUCCAUGUCUAGCAAUUCUAAUCAACCGGUUAAGAUAAAUUAGAAAAACCUUGCUCUGAUACCAAUUGAGAGAUCAAGAUAGGCAAUCAGAGGGGGGUGAAUGAUUGCGCGGAAGCAAAUUAUAACUUUUCCAAAAUUUAAAACCCUGAAACUCUAAUCUGUUCGAGAUGGUAAAACAGUUGUAUAUCAAGAUCUGCUGAACCAAAAAAUACGUAUGAGUACUCCAAUUAAAGCUACGGAAAUUAUCUAAUCAACACAACAAGAAUCAGCUUAAACGGAGUUACCAAUCAAAAGUUAUGAUCAAAACAGUAACAGCUGACAGAAAACUGCGAAAAUCAAUCUAGAUCUAAUUUCGAGAACUAGCAAGAAAGAUAGAUUAAUCGCACCACAAACUUCCCUUGAUCUCGUGAAAAAAAAACUGCAGCCAAGUAUUAGAAAGAUCUAACACGGAGAUUUCACCGAGAUUAGAGAAGCCCAGAGAUGACACCACCAAAGAUCACUUUAUUGCCACGAUGUCGAUCGGUUACAGAAAAUGCGUGUCAGCAUCCAAGAACUCUCAAAUAAAUCUAGGCUAAAGAUCUGAGUUCCUCUCCUGAGACACACCCAAAAACCUAGCCUACGCCCCUCUAUUUAAAGAGCUAAACAGCACCCUAAAAAUAGAGCCCAUCUCUGAAACAAAACAGACGGCGGAAUCAUGCGUGAGCCUGGCCGCUCACCUCGUUGCUGCAUGGGCCACGCUGGGCCUGCUCCUCCGGCCUCUAGCCUAUGUACGCUCAGUUGCAGACAUGCAACGAGCAAUGUCUGCUCUUGCGCGUGAGCCUGGCUGACCGCCUCCAUCGCGCACGCCGCCUUCCAUCGAUCCGCACGCCUGCCACAUGG